rnacentral:rRNA from 1 species
ACAGGGAUUGCCCUAGUAACGGCGAGUGAAGCGGCAACAGCUCAAAUUUGAAAUCUGGCUCUUUCAGAGUCCGAGUUGUAAUUUGCAGAGGGCGCUUUGGCGUUGGCAGCGGUCCAAGUUCCUUGGAACAGGACGUCACAGAGGGUGAGAAUCCCGUACGUGGUCGCUGGCCUUCGCCGUGUAAAGCCCCUUCGACGAGUCGAGUUGUUUGGGAAUGCAGCUCUAAAUGGGAGGUAAAUUUCUUCUAAAGCUAAAUACUGGCCAGAGACCGAUAGCGCACAAGUAGAGUGAUCGAAAGAUGAAAAGCACUUUGGAAAGAGAGUCAAAUAGCACGUGAAAUUGUUGAAAGGGAAGCGCUUGCAGCCAGACUUGCCUGUAGUUGCUCAUCCGGGCUCUCGCCCGGUGCACUCUUCUACAGGCAGGCCAGCAUCAGUUUGGGCGGUUGGAUAAAGGUCUCUGUCACGUACCUCCUCUCGGGGAGGCCUUAUAGGGGAGACGACAUGCAACCAGCCUGGACUGAGGUCCGCGCAAUUGCUAGGAUGCUGGCGUAAUGGCUGUAAGCGGCCCGUCUUGAAACACGGACCAAGGAGUCUAACAUCUAUGCGAGUGUUUGGGUGUCAAGCCCGAGCGCGCAAUGAAAGUGAACGGAGGUGGGAACCCUUUUGGGGUGCACCAUCGACCGAUCCUGAUGUCUUCGGAUGGAUUUGAGUAAGAGCAUGGCUGUUGGGACCCGAAAGAUGGUGAACUAUGCUUGAAUAGGGUGAAGCCAGAGGAAACUCUGGUGGAGGCUCGCAGCGGUUCUGACGUGCAAAUCGAUCGUCAAAUUUGGGCAUAGGGGCGAAAGACUAAUCGAACUAUCUAGUAGCUGGUUCCUGCCGAAGUUUCCCUCAGGAAG